AUACUUGCAACGUGGGUGUGCAUUCAUGGCAUCUCAACCUCCCAAGUACAAUCUUGGAUAUUAUGCAUAGGAUAGUUCCUGCAGUCUCUUUGAUAGCGUAAUAUAAACUUUCUUUAACCAUCCAGAAAAAAAUAAAAAAGGAAAAUGGAAAGAGCAUAGGCUAACAAGCAACGUUGAAUUGGGUGUCUUAAAUCUCCAUAUGGUUUUCCC
rnacentral:lncRNA from 1 species